rnacentral:rRNA from 1 species
GACGAACGCUGGCGGCGUGCCUAAUACAUGCAAGUAGAACGCUGAAGAGAGGAGCUUGCUCUUCUUGGAUGAGUUGCGAACGGGUGAGUAACGCGUAGGUAACCUGCCUUGUAGCGGGGGAUAACUAUUGGAAACGAUAGCUAAUACCGCAUAACAAUGGAUGACACAUGUCAUUUAUUUGAAAGGGGCAAUUGCUCCACUACAAGAUGGACCUGCGUUGUAUUAGCUAGUAGGUGAGGUAACGGCUCACCUAGGCGACGAUACAUAGCCGACCUGAGAGGGUGAUCGGCCACACUGGGACUGAGACACGGCCCAGACUCCUACGGGAGGCAGCAGUAGGGAAUCUUCGGCAAUGGGGGCAACCCUGACCGAGCAACGCCGCGUGAGUGAAGAAGGUUUUCGGAUCGUAAAGCUCUGUUGUAAGUCAAGAACGAGUGUGAGAGUGGAAAGUUCACACUGUGACGGUAGCUUACCAGAAAGGGACGGCUAACUACGUGCCAGCAGCCGCGGUAAUACGUAGGUCCCGAGCGUUGUCCGGAUUUAUUGGGCGUAAAGCGAGCGCAGGCGGUUUGAUAAGUCUGAAGUUAAAGGCUGUGGCUCAACCAUAGUUCGCUUUGGAAACUGUCAAACUUGAGUGCAGAAGGGGAGAGUGGAAUUCCAUGUGUAGCGGUGAAAUGCGUAGAUAUAUGGAGGAACACCGGUGGCGAAAGCGGCUCUCUGGUCUGUAACUGACGCUAAGGCUCGAAAGCGUGGGGAGCGAACAGGAUUAGAUACCCUGGUAGUCCACGCCGUAAACGAUGAGUGCUAGGUGUUGGAUCCUUUCCGGGAUUCAGUGCCGCAGCUAACGCAUUAAGCACUCCGCCUGGGGAGUACGACCGCAAGGUUGAAACUCAAAGGAAUUGACGGGGGCCCGCACAAGCGGUGGAGCAUGUGGUUUAAUUCGAAGCAACGCGAAGAACCUUACCAGGUCUUGACAUCCCGAUGCUAUUUCUAGAGAUAGAAAGUUACUUCGGUACAUCGGUGACAGGUGGUGCAUGGUUGUCGUCAGCUCGUGUCGUGAGAUGUUGGGUUAAGUCCCGCAACGAGCGCAACCCCUAUUGUUAGUUGCCAUCAUUCAGUUGGGCACUCUAGCGAGACUGCCGGUAAUAAACCGGAGGAAGGUGGGGAUGACGUCAAAUCAUCAUGCCCCUUAUGACCUGGGCUACACACGUGCUACAAUGGUUGGUACAACGAGUUGCGAGUCGGUGACGGCAAGCUAAUCUCUUAAAGCCAAUCUCAGUUCGGAUUGUAGGCUGCAACUCGCCUACAUGAAGUCGGAAUCGCUAGUAAUCGCGGAUCAGCACGCCGCGGUGAAUACGUUCCCGGGCCU